GCGGUUGGGAGGUCCGCCGAUGCGGACCGUCGGGGUCGUUACCUCGCCCGGCCGC
ncrna:Rhodovulum sp. PH10 DTF3800-VI RNA